rnacentral:rRNA from 1 species
GACGAACGCUGGCGGCGUGCUUAACACAUGCAAGUCGAACGCGCCUGUCCUCUGGGUUUCUGGGGGGUGGGUGAGUGGCGAACGGGUGAGUAACACGUGAGUAACCUUCCCCCUUCUUCGGGAUAACGGUCUGAAAGGGCUGCUAAUACCGGGUAUUCACUUGUCUCCGCAUGGGGUCUGGUGGAAAGGUUUUUUCCUGGGGGGGGAUGGGUUCGCGGCCUAUCAGCUUGUUGGUGGGGUGAUGGCCCACCAAGGCUUUGACGGGUAGCCGGCCUGAGAGGGUGACCGGUCACAUUGGGACUGAGAUGCGGCCCAGACUACGACGGGGGGCAGCAGUGGGGAAUAUUGCACAAUGGGCGCAAGACUGAUGCAGCGACGCCGCGUGAGGGAUGGAGGCCUUCGGGUUGUGAACCUCUUACGCCCGUGGUCAAGCCGCGACGUGGGUCGUGGUGAGGGUAGUGGGUAAAGAAGCGCCGGCUAACUACGUG